AUACUUACCUGGCAGAGGAAAUACCAUAGUCACAAAGGUAGUUUUCCCAGGGCGAGGCUUAUCCAUUGCACUCCAGAUGUGCUGACCCCUGCUGUUUCCCCAAAUGCAGGAAAUUCGACUGCGAAAUUUGUGGUAGUGGGAGACUGCAUUCAUGCUCUUCCCUG
ensembl:snRNA U1 U1 spliceosomal RNA